GGGCCCGCACAAGCGGUGGAGCAUGUGGUUUAAUUCGACGCAACGCGAAGAACCUUACCUGGUCUUGACAUCCUGCGAACUUUCUAGAGAUAGAUUGGUGCCUCGGGAACGCAGUGACAGGUGCUGCAUGGCUGUCGUCAGCUCGUGUCGUGAGAUGUUGGGUUAAGUCCCGUAACGAGCGCAACCCUUGUCCUUAUUUGCCAUCAUUUAGUUGGGCACUCUAGGGAGACUGCCGGUGACAAACCGGAGGAAGUGGGGGACGACGUCAAGUCAUCAUGGCCCUUACGACCAGGGCUACACACGUGCUACAAUGGGGCGUACAAAGGGUUGCAAUCCCGCGAGGGGGUG
rnacentral:rRNA from 1 species